rnacentral:rRNA from 1 species
UUUAAUUGAAGAGUUUGAUCAUGGCUCAGAUUGAACGCUGGCGGCAGGCCUAACACAUGCAAGUCGAACGGUAACAGGAAGCAGCUUGCUG